UAUCAUGUGUGGGCUGAACUCCUUAUCCUAUACAGGCUUCUGUUAUGGGGACAAUGGCUAGUCCUGGUGUCUGGGUGAUU